UUGAUCCUGGCUCAGAAUCAACGCUGGCGGCGUGCCUAGCACAUGCAAGUCGAGCGAGAAAGGGGCUUCGGCCCUGAGUAAAGCGGCGCACGGGUGAGUUACACGUGGAUAACCUGCCUCGAAGUGGGGGAUAACACCGGGAAACCGGUUCUAAUACCGCAUACCCUGAUGAGAUCUGCGGAUUUUGUCAGUAAAGGAGUAAUUCGCUUUGAGAGGGGUCCGCGGCUGAUUAGCUAGUUGGUGAGGUAAUGGCUCACCAAGGCAUCGAUCAGUAGCCGGUCUGAGAGGACGGUCGGCCAUACUGGAACUGAGACACGGUCCAGACUCCUACGGGAGGCAGCAGUGGGGAUUUUUUGGCAAUGGGGGAAACCCUGACCAAGCAACGCCGCGUGGAUGAUGUAGUAUCUUGGUACGUAAAAUCCUUUCGACGGGGACGAAACCGCAAGGUUUACGGUACCCGUAGAAGAAGCCCCGGCUAACUCCGUGCCAGCAGCCGCGGUAAUAAGGU
rnacentral:rRNA from 1 species